CGGGUGAGUAACGCGUAUGCAACUUACCUAUCAGAGGGGGAUAACCCGGCGAAAGUCGGACUAAUACCGCAUGAAGCAGGGGCCCCGCAUGGGGAUAUUUGCUAAAGAUUCAUCGCUGAUAGAUAGGCAUGCGUUCCAUUAGGCAGUUGGCGGGGUAACGGCCCACCAAACCGACGAUGGAUAGGGGUUCUGAGAGGAAGGUCCCCCACAUUGGUACUGAGACACGGACCAAACUCCUACGGGAGGCAGCAGUGAGGAAUAUUGGUCAAUGGGCGUAAGCCUGAACCAGCCAAGUCGCGUGAGGGAUGAAGGUUCUAUGGAUCGUAAACCUCUUUUAUAAGGGAAUAAAGUGCGGGACGUGUCCCGUUUUGUAUGUACCUUAUGAAUAAGGAUCGGCUAACUCCGUGCCAGCAGCCGCGGUAAUACGGAGGAUCCGAGCGUUAUCCGGAUUUAUUGGGUUUAAAGGGUGCGUAGGCGGCCUUUUAAGUCAGCGGUGAAAGUCUGUGGCUCAACCAUAGAAUUGCCGUUGAAACUGGGGGGCUUGAGUAUGUUUGAGGCAGGCGGAAUGCGUGGUGGAGCGGUGAAAUGCUUAGAUAUCACGCAGAACCCCGAUCGCGAAGGCAGCCUGCCAAGCCAUGACUGACGCUGAUGCACGAAAGCGUGGGGAUCAAACAGGAUUAGAUACCCUGGUAGUCCACGCAGUAAACGAUGAUCACUAGCUGUUUGCGAUACACUGUAAGCGGCACAGCGAAAGCGUUAAGUGAUCCACCUGGGGAGUACGCCGGCAACGGUGAAACUCAAAGGAAUUGACGGGGGCCCGCACAAGCGGAGGAACAUGUGGUUUAAUUCGAUGAUACGCGAGGAACCUUACCCGGGUUUGAACGCAUUUCGACCGCUCUGGAAACAGAGCCUCUAGCAAUAGCGAUUUGCGAGGUGCUGCAUGGUUGUCGUCAGCUCGUGCCGUGAGGUGUCGGCUUAAGUGCCAUAACGAGCGCAACCCUUGCCACUAGUUACUAACAGGUAAAGCUGAGGACUCUGGUGGGACUGCCAGCGUAAGCUGCGAGGAAGGCGGGGAUGACGUCAAAUCAGCACGGCCCUUACAUCCGGGGCGACACACGUGUUACAAUGGCGUGGACAAAGGGAUGCCACCUGGCGACAGGGAGCGAAUCCCCAAACCACGUCUCAGUUCGGAUCGGAGUCUGCAACCCGACUCCGUGAAGCUGGAUUCGCUAGUAAUCGCGCAUCAGCC
rnacentral:rRNA from 1 species